rnacentral:rRNA from 1 species
GACGAACGCUGGCGGCGUGCUUAACACAUGCAAGUCGAACGGAAAGGCCCUUCGGGGUGCUCGAGUGGCGAACGGGUGAGUAACACGUGGGUGAUCUGCCCUGCACUUUGGGAUAAGCCUGGGAAACUGGGUCUAAUACCGAAUACACCUUGCUGGCUGCAUGGCUGGUGGGGGAAAGCUUUUGCGGUGUGGGAUGAGCCCGCGGCCUAUCAGCUUGUUGGUGGGGUGAUGGCCUACCAAGGCUUCGACGGGUAGCCGGCCUGAGAGGGUGUCCGGCCACACUGGGACUGAGAUACGGCCCAGACUCCUACGGGAGGCAGCAGUGGGGAAUAUUGCACAAUGGGCGCAAGCCUGAUGCAGCGACGCCGCGUGGGGGAUGACGGCCUUCGGGUUGUAAACCUCUUUCAGUUGGGACGAAGCGCAAGUGACGGUACCGACAGAAGAAGCACCGGCCAACUACGUGCCAGCCGCCGCAGUAACAC